UUCUGUGAGUCUGGGGACAUUCGAGAUGUGCUGUGUGUAACUGUUUUGCUUCUCAGGCAAUGUUUCGGCAAGAUUUACAGGUCCACCAGCUGACAUGCUUUGCCAUUGCAAGGUCUCGUUCCUCUCAUUAACUUGAUUUUCAUGGUAAGGCUGAAAACUGCUUUGUUCAUACAUUGAUUGCUUUCUGUAGAGAGAAUGUUGGACUGCUAGUGGAGCUUCUUGAUACCUUGGCAACUCGUAUUCCCUGGCAGCUUUUUUACCCACACUCGCAGCCUUUUGUCCAACAGUUUUGCUUGAGCAGCUUGCAGCCUUUUCUUUGUUGAAUCUGGAAGAAUUUGAUGUCCAAGAAGAUAUGGAAUCUUCACUCUGCAAUUUGAAG
rnacentral:lncRNA from 1 species